rnacentral:rRNA from 1 species
UACGAAGGGGGCUAGCGUUGCUCGGAAUCACUGGGCGUAAAGCGCACGUAGGCGGCUUCUUAAGUCAGGGGUGAAAUCCUGGAGCUCAACUCCAGAACUGCCUUUGAUACUGAGGAGCUCGAGUCCGGAAGAGGUGAGUGGAACUGCGAGUGUAGAGGUGAAAUUCGUAGAUAUUCGCAAGAACACCAGUGGCGAAGGCGGCUCACUGGCCCGGUACUGACGCCGAGGCACGAAAGCGUGGGGAGCAAACAGG